rnacentral:rRNA from 1 species
UACGUAGCAGCGAGCGUUGUUCGGAGUUACUGGGCGUAAAGAGUGCGUAGGCGGUUUUCUAAGUUUGGUGUGAAAUCUCCCGGCUCAACUGGGAGGGUGCGCCGAAUACUGAAUGACUUGGAGUGCGGGAGAGGUGAGUGGAAUUCCUGGUGUAGCGGUGAAAUGCGUAGAUAUCAGGAGGAACACCGGUGGUGUAGACGGCUCACUGGGCCGGUACUGACGCUGAGGAGCGAAAGCGUGGGGAGCAAACAGG